AGCAUCAGUCAAAACUUCUUCAUCAUUUGAAUGAAUAAGACGUGCAAGAGCUGGAAGUGCUGGUUUGACCAGAUCAAAAGCAGGCUGUGGCUUGCCCCUGCAAAAAUUUGAUAGCGUCCAGGUAGCAUUUCUCAGCAUAGAGAGCUUAGCUUGCUCGUUCAACUGUGCUAAUAAAGGAAGCAAAGCUCCAUGACCUAGAACCAGAUCACGACAUCUUGAAGAAUCCCCAGCAACAUUACCUAAUGCCCAAACAGCCUGCUCCCGGACAUCAUCACUUGGAGAACCAAGA
rnacentral:misc_RNA from 1 species